rnacentral:rRNA from 1 species
AUUGAACGCUGGCGGCAUGCCUUACACAUGCAAGUCGAACGGUAACAGGUCUUCGGAUGCUAACGAGUGGCGAACGGGUGAGUAAUACAUCGGAACGUGCCUAGUAGUGGGGGAUAACUACUCGAAAGAGUGGCUAAUACCGCAUGAGAUCUAUGGAUGAAAGCAGGGGAUCGCAAGACCUUGUGCUACCAGAGCGGCCGAUGGCAGAUUAGGUAGUUGGUGGGAUAAAAGCUUACCAAGCCGACGAUCUGUAGCUGGUCUGAGAGGACGAUCAGCCACACUGGGACUGAGACACGGCCCAGACUCCUACGGGAGGCAGCAGUGGGGAAUUUUGGACAAUGGGCGAAAGCCUGAUCCAGCAAUGCCGCGUGCAGGAUGAAGGCCUUCGGGUUGUAAACUGCUUUUGUACGGAACGAAAAGCCCCGGGUUAAUACCCUGGGGUCAUGAUGGUACCGUAAGAAUAAGCACCGGCUAACUACGUGCCAGCCGCCGCAGUAA